AGUUAACGCUGGCAUCGUGCAUAACACAUGCAAGUCGAACGGGACUUUGCUUUGUAGCAACACAAAGUAAAGUUUAGUGGCAGACGGGUGAGUAAUGUAUAAGAAACCUACCUCUGAGUGGGGAAUAACAGUCCGAAAGGAUUGCUAAUACCCCAUAACAUAUCUAGAUGGCAUCAUUUAGAUAUCAAAGAUUUAUCGCUUGGAGACGGUCUUAUAUCUAUCAGCUAGUUGGCAGUGUAACGGACUACCAAGGCGACGACGGAUAGCCGGCCUGAGAGGGUGAACGGCCACAAGGGGACUGAGACACGGCCCUU
rnacentral:rRNA from 1 species